rnacentral:misc_RNA from 1 species
GAUGAAGAACGUAGUAAAAUGCGAUAAGUAGUGUGAAUUGCAGAAUUCAGUGAAUCAUCGAAUCUUUGAACGCACAUUGCGCCCGCCAGUAUUCUGGCGGGCAUGCCUGUUCGAGCGUCAUUUCAACCAUCAAGCCCUGCUUGCGUUGGGGUCCUGCGGCUGCCCGCAGGCCCUGAAAACCAGUGGCGGGCUCGCUAGUCACACCGAGCGCAGUAAUACAUCUCGCUUUGGGCGUGCGGCGGGUUCUUGCCGUUAAACACCCCCUUUUUACCAAGGUUGACCUCGGAUCAGGUAGGAAUACCCGCUGAACUUAAGCAUAUCAAUAAGCGGAGGA